GGGGUUGUGGGUGGGGGUGAGGGGUGUGGUAUGGGUCGUGGGUGGGGGUGGCAGUUGAGGGUGGAGUGGGGUGGCCAAAACACAGGGGCAGUGUGGAGAAGAAAAGGGCCAAUAGGAGGCAUAUAUGUAUGCAACAUGGGGCCCCAGCUUGCAGCUUUGCUGACUACACCCUACUCGGGCCUAGUUAUUACCCUGAGGAAAGCUGAUUUGGGGGCUCAGAGGGGAGGUGAGAUCUCACGGUGACCAUAGGACGCCUUGAGUAAAAGUUUGGAGAAUAUCUCAUGGCCUGACCCUCCAUAUUUGGCAGCAUGCACAGGGCGCGGGCUAUUAAUUAAGCAGAAAUGAUUGACUGGGGGCUGCUUGUUCAGAGUUCCAGCAAAGGCACUGAAAGCAGAGCUGCCAUGCUCUCUUCAGUGCUGGGAUCGGGAUCUUGGAGAUGGGCAUGCAGAGCAUUCUGGGUGGUAAGAUGUGCUCUGCAAGAAAUCUAACGCACCCUUUGAGAAAGUCAACACAGAAUAAACACGAGGCUGAAUCUGUUAGCCUGAGACUGAAUAUCUUUGGCUAUGCAAGAGAAACCUGUACUCAUGGCAAAAUGGAGUGCUAUAAGGACAAGCAAAAAAUAAAUAAAUAAAUAAAAUCGGGGAUGGUAUAGGAAGAGCACCAGUAAGGGCAUACCUGCCAAAAAUCUCCAAUCUUGGGAUGGAGAUUUGGGAUUUAAGGAUAUGCAGCUUACUGGAUGUGGGGCCACUUCUGCUCCACAGAGCCUUGUAACUACACAGCCUUCCUACCACUGACCCCAAUAAGCCCAAUUACGAAGAAAAACCCUGAAGAGCCUGGUGCAGUGGCUCCUGCACUAGUCCCAGCUACUCAGGAGGCUGAGAUGGGAGGAUCACUUGAACCCAGGAGUUUGAGGCUGUGGUGAGCUAGAAUCACAUGGCAGCACUCCAGCCUGGGCAACAGACAGAGGCCCCUUUUCUUUAAAAUAAAUAAUAAAAUAAGAAAUAAAAUGAAAAUGAAAGAAAGGAAAGCGCUAAGAGAGUCUGUCAUGAGGAAGGGCAUGGAGAUGUCUUUUGAGGGUGGACAACUCAUGAAUCCUUAAUUUUUCUAGAGAUUGUGUGUGUGCUCUUAAGUGAUGUUAUAUACUUUAUUUUGUUUUUUAAAAAUAUUUUUAAAAAUUUUAUUUUUAAAUGUUCUUUUAAAAACUUUCUGUAUCUAUUUAUAUCUAUUGGUUAUUUGAGGUUUUUUUGGCAGCAUAUAUAAAUAUGCAGACCCUUUGAGUCUGUAGCCUACCAAGAGAGAUAGCUCUCGUCUUCAUGGUGAUUCUGAGCAUGGAAAGGCCCUUGCACUUGGCAGCAUGACAAGGACUAAGCCACUCGCUCCAUUAAUUGACUGCCAUCCACUGGGCUAAGUGAGAUCCUUGCGUUCUAUCCCUAGUGAGAGAAGAGAGAGGAAGAAGAAGAAAAAUAGAAAGAUAAUAAGAAAAUAGAAAAAGAAAUGAAUAAAUGUACAUUGUGGGGAGCAGGAAAGGACUACCAGUAAUGGGAGGCAUCAGCUAGGAGCACAGAUCCGAAGCAUGACUCACUGUGUGUCCUAGGACACUGGAUGAAUCUAUCUGGUUCUCAGCUUCCUCACCUAUAAAAUGGAGAUAACAACAGUGUCUCGAUCAUAGGGUUUUCAUGAGAGUUCAAUGAGGCAAGGCAUACAUGUAACUGAACACAGCUCCGACUGCUCACCAGUUGCAAAGUCCAGUGAACAAGAACGACGUCUGGUAGAAAGAAAGUGGCUUUAUUCCAGAGCUAGUUGAGGGGAAGUAGUACAGGCUGCCUUGAGGAAGCCACUAAAGCCUUUGGGGCAGAAGGCAGGAGCUUUGAAAGUGGGGCUUGGCGUGAAUGGCAUGCAGGGGAGAGGGCGAUGAAGUGCAGAGUCUAUGUGACUUGCUUCGGAUGUCUUAUCUAUCAGGUGGUCUGGCUGGCACCGUCACGGGCAGAGCUAGGUUGUAAGUUGAGGCAAUCUCAAUUUGCCUCCUGGUAGGAGAGAGUUCUGGAGGUUCCUGGUUUGCUUUAAGGUUCGGUCUCUGUAACUUCUAAGUAAACAUGUAGUUAGAUAAGCUUGCUGUGUAGGGAGUGUCUGGUGGAGAGAAGGUAAAGUUUAUAAUUGCAUUCCCAAAGAGCUAAGUAGGAGGUGUGAGGAAAGGAAAAAGGAAAAAAUAAUUCAUUUGAUUCUUUAAAAAAGAGGUACUUGGUUAUAUAUAGACUGUUUUAUUCUUUUUCUUCAACUCCAAAUAGUCAAUUUAUCAGCAAAUCCUGUUGACUCCGCCUCAGAAACACAUUCCCAAACCUUUAAUUUUUUUUCUCUGACAUGCUUAAGAUAAUCUCUAUCAUCUUAAACCUGGGAUAUUGCAUUAGUGUCCUGUCUCCCUGCUUUCACCUUUUUUCUCCUAUAAACAUUCUCCACCCAGCAGCCAGAGUGAUCUGAUGAUGAAAAUGUGAAUUACACCAUGGUGCCCCUGCUUAUCACCUUCAUACUGCUUGUUCUUGGGUUGGGUCCAGAGUAGGUACUUAAUACAUGGUAAUGCUUAUUACAUUAUUAUUUGCUCUGGUAUCUAGGAAUAAGAUAUAUUAGGCCAAGGAAGAAAAUCUGUCUGCUGAGUGAAAGACACACUCUCCUGGCACAUUUCCUGGCCCAGGGCUCAUACAUGCAGCAACCAACAUAGGCUUAUUGAUGGAAGCACAUAUAGGUACAUAGAAACAUGGUACGUGUAUUGUUUUCACAAGAAGAUGCUCUAUCUUUAUUACAUGCUGCCAGAGGAGAACAAUCACUCUCUCUCCCUUGUGAAUAAAAAAAUAUGAAAGUGAGUCAAGUAGGAAAUGUGAGGCUGCAUGGUCAUUUGUGAAAUUGUAUAAUUAAGCACCUCAAUUAAUCCUCAAAACACCUCUAUGAAUUAGGUAUGAUUGUUAUCUCCAUUUAAAAAAUUAUUAAACCAAGGCAAAAUGAGAAUAAACUGCUCACCAGAUUAGCCAGCUAGCAAGUAGUGAGUGAAGCCAUGAUUCAGAUACCUAGUCUGGUUCUAGGGUCACUGCUCACAUAAAUCUGUUACAUCAGGCCGUGAUUUGUGGCUAUUUUUGCUUAGGAUGAGGGUUCCAUUAGGUACUUAAGGUUUUCAAGAGUGAAUCAAAAAUUAAAAAUUAAAUUAUAUUUAAAGUAAAACAUUUAAGUAAGUACUAGCUUUUCUGGUGCCCACAUAGGGCAACAACACUCACCUAAGAUGCCUAUGAGUGACUGAAGGUGAGAAAACACCGGGGUACACUGUGGAAAUCUGAGAUGUGGAAGAAAUCAAGCUGUCACAGACGUCCCAGCUAGUCUACUGCACUCCAUGAUUAAAACUCUUACAUGUCUCUCAUGCAGCAUUUGAUCCAAGGCUGAAAAUUGAUCAUGAACUGAUUAGUUAAGAGAAGGAGAGGGGGCCAGACUCCAACAAAAGUCAGAUUUUGGUUGAAGUCAGAGAGAGGUUGUGAGAUUGCCAUCCCUUGACAUCUUUUUAAAAGUGAAUUGUUUAAUCACUUUUUUUUAAGCUGAUUUCUUAGCCAUCUUGCAGAAAUAUGAGGCAGGGGCACUUAUCCAUUAGGUACAGUAGGUAAGGUAACUAAGCCCAAUGACACCCUUAGCAGCCCAUGAAAAUGGUUUAGUUUCUUUCAUAAAAUGGUGCUGAAGAUAAUGAUAGUUGCAAAGGAAAAAAUACGGUAGACCAAUAUCAUAGUAUGUUACCAAGCAUAGGGCCUAUUAUUGGAAGCUAUUUCCAGUGCUCAGGAUAUUAACAUCUCCUGGAGCGUCUGCAAAACACAUCUUGAAGGCAGAACCAUAGUCCUCAAUUUGGCCUGCCUCUUUUAUUUGACAAUAAAGUUUUAUUUAUUUCUGAGCAUAAGAUUGGGAUUUUAUUUCUAGAAAAAGGGAGAAAAGGUGGAAGGAGGAGGAGGCAGGGAAAAGGUGGAAACUUGCCCAGGCCCAUAGCAGGAGCCCAACACAGGGAACACUUAAGCUUGUGUAGAGUACUUGUAACCAGAAGCCCGGAGGUGGAGCACAGCAGAGGAUGCAAUGUGCCACUGUCGCGGCCAGAGCCCAUGCAGUGUAAACAUUAACAUUCUUGGAUGCACUAAGCACUGGGCUGCGGUCUACACUUGCAUUCUGAGGUGGUGGAGUCAUGGCCAAAAUUUUGGAGUACUUGGACUUUUCUCAAGAAGCGUUGCACUUCUUGUCCGGACCGGGGAUUACCGCAGAUCGCAGCCCAGAGUCUGCGGAGGCGCACCGUUUCAUCAACAGCAGGGACUGAAACUUCAGCCCAGGAGAAGCCAAGAUGGCACCGUUAUCGCACCCUGGGAAUCGAGGACCGGGAAGAACUUAAUGAUGCGAUUCCUCCCGUGAUCUCAGUGAUUGUAUCAGGCGAAAACGAGGAGGGCAAAAUACCGUCCAGAUGUAAACUAGGAGCAGCCGCACCAGCAGCACCAGCAGAAUGCCGUGGUAGUGCGGCAGGCCCUGGCCCCAUGGACAAAGAGAAACUCGUCAGUGGCAGUGGCCACGAACUCAGAAAGCCUGAGGACAGUCAGCAGCUCCUCUGGCUCUUCACUUUCACACUGGUGCAACUACAGGAGCUGAAGAACAUUUUUCAACUCGUUCCAUACCCGGACGUGUUAGAUGGAGUCUCCCUCUGUCGCCCAGGCUGGAGUGCAGUGGCGCGAUCUCGGCUCACUGCAACCUCCACCUCCCGGUUUUAUGCGAUUCUCCUGCCUCAGCCUCCCGAGUAGCUGGGACUACAGUGGCCUCAGGGAUAUGGAAUUAAGAUCCACCUGGUGUGAUGAAUAAACCCAGACUCUCAGCAACGCAGGAAAAAAAAAACAAAAACUGGCUGGCGAUCUGGAGUAAAGGAUCCUCACAUCCACGUGAACCAGGAAACUCUGUGCCCAAAUCGACGAAAAAAAAACACUGGGAGAGCCGAACUAAAAGUCUUUUAGCACGGGUACCAGCCCUAGAAUUUCCAGUACACCAGCAGCAGCCUGGAAACCACAUCCUCAUCAAAAGACAGAAAGAAAAAAACUCGAGCCAGCCUGAGAAGGACCCUAUUUUAUGCUGUUAACCACUGAGACUGCCAUCCUCACAGCUGAGAAAGGAUGGACCCACCAUACUCAAGUCAAGAAAACAUCUUCCUCGUCAGAAUCAUGGGUUACUGUACUAGGAUUAAGCCUUACUAAGUUAAAGUUAAAGAAAGCUUAAUUUUCAUAUACCUUCUAUAUUGCUUCUUUUCCUUUCCUUAUUCUGUUACUAGCUCCUUUGUUAUUAAUGUAACUAAGUCUGAGUCACCUCAGACCAUUGCCUUUUAUGCUUGCUCUGUCAUACCUUGUGGAAAUGUAAAAGAUCAAUGACAGCUAGCCUUUUCACACAAUUAUUUAUGCCUCGGCCCUCUAAUUGACACAGUUACCCCUAGCACUCAUCGUUGUGAUCACCUGCAGCCAAGACGCUGAUUUUCUGCUCCUAUAGCCUGGCAACCUUGUGGUACAUGGGACUACGUCCUUUAAACUACCCAGGAGCAAAGUUGGACUUCCAUGAAAAAGGUUUGUGCAGAUCUAAAACCUCUCAUCUAUUUCACUAAAAGGACUUCCCCUUCUAACUGUCACCCUUACCAAUGUAACCCUGUCCUCUCUAUCACCACCUCCACCUGUCUUUAACUAACUCUAGACCUGUCCUUAAUUGCUUUUAUGGUAUUGGAAUAGGAAUUAAAAGAAAUUAAAGAAUGUGUAAGGAGAAACUCAGUUGUAUGUAAGAAAACCCAAUUCCCCCUGAGAAAGAGAAAGAGUUGGAGUCCUUUAAAAAUUAACUGCCUGUUUUUCUGUGGCUAGUGAGCCUUAUCUCUCCUCCUUUCCCAGACAUUGUGAAGACCCUGUUUCUCUAGCUGUGCAGCUGCAAGGUCACUAGACAGAUAAACUCAAGUUGUAAAACAUGUUUUUCCUUGAAAAGUAAGAAAUGCUGUAAUGCAUUUCUCAAUUAAUUAAAUAACUGUCUUUGUUUCUCGCUUCUGUAAUAUGCUUCCCCCUGCACAGAUCUCCACCCACCCUACAAAAUGCUUAAAAGGUAACUUAACUCUUUGUUCUGGGCUCAGUCCUUUGGGCUGAGUACUGGGCCGGUGCACCUAAAUAAUAAAUAUCUUCCUGAACCCCAUUUGUCU
rnacentral:lncRNA from 10 species